rnacentral:tRNA from 1 species
UUAAUUAAAACCAAAAAAAAGAGGUUUACUAAUGUUAAUAGUAUCAAUGAAUUUACAUUCUAAUUAAU